rnacentral:lncRNA from 1 species
GCGCGGCGGCGGCAGCGGGACGCGCGGCUCCCCCUGGCUGCGCGGCGGCGGCGGGAGGCGGCCGCGCUCUGAGGAGGAGCCGCCGCCGCCUCAUCCUGCGGCAGCGCGAGGAGCCCGGCGAGCGCAGGUGGCAGUGUAGAAGCCAAGAACAAAAAUUGGCAGAAAUAUUUUCUGUGUAUGAGAAAAYGAAGAGUGUACUCAUGACUAAGCACAGGAACCUGAAAAACCACAGGUGCAGCAAAACUGGAUUGGAUAGGAACUGGUGAAGAACUAGAUUUUGCUGCCUGUGGUGACUGGAUGUAUCAAAAGAGGAGAAAUAAGAAGAAUUUU